GAUGAACGCUGGCGGCGUGCCUAAUACAUGCAAGUCGAGCGAACGGACGAGAAGCUUGCUUUUCUGAUGUUAGCGGCGGACGGGUGAGUAACACGUGGAUAACCUACCUAUAAGACUGGGAUAACUUCGGGAAACCGGAGCUAAUACCGGAUAAUAUUUUGAACCGCAUGGUUCAAAAGUGAAAGACGGUCUUGCUGUCACUUAUAGAUGGAUCCGCGCUGCAUUAGCUAGUUGGUAAGGUAACGGCUUACCAAGGCAACGAUGCAUAGCCGACCUGAGAGGGUGAUCGGCCACACGGGAACUGAGACACGGUCCAGACUCCUAAGGGAGGCAGCAGUAGGGAAUCUUCCGCAAUGGGCGAAAGCCUGACGGAGCAACGCCGCGUGAGUGAUGAAGGUCUUCGGAUCGUAAAACUCUGUUAUUAGGGAAGAACAGAUGUGUAAGUAACUGUGCACAGCUUGACGGUACCUAAUCAGAAAGCCACGGCUAACUACGUG
rnacentral:rRNA from 1 species